AUGAACCGGACUGGUCGUCUUGACCUCAUCAACUCAGUCCUCACGGCUACGAUCACCUUCUUCCUUACCUCUUUUGCCCCCAAUGCCUGGUUCACUAAAAAAUUUGACAAGAUGAGGAGGAAUUUCAUUUGGGCUGCUGAUGAAGAGGCCCAUGGAGGGAAAUGCCUCGUUAACUGGAAGAGGAUUUGCGCUCCAACGAGUGUGGGGGGCCUUGGCAUCAAGGAUGUUCAGGCCUUUAGCAGAUCCCUUAGGCUUAGGUGGCCUUGGUAUGAGUGGGACGGCUCGUAUAGACCCUGGAAA
rnacentral:rRNA from 1 species